GCACAAAUGAUGACUUUUACUCGGCUACCCCUUCAGGACUACUUGGGUGAUGCAAACACGAGUUUCUGAUGUG